AUUAAUGAAAACAGAAAAAGACAAAAUGAAAGUACAAAUCAAAGUUUUAAAGGGUGUCAAUAUCCCAGGUUUCUUCUCUUCUCUCUUCUCCCUGUUU
rnacentral:ribozyme from 13 species